rnacentral:rRNA from 1 species
UACGUAGGGGGCUAGCGUUGUCCGGAAUCAUUGGGCGUAAAGAGCGUGUAGGCGGCCCGGUAAGUCCGCUGUAAAAGUCAAAGGCUCAACCUUUGAAUGUCAGUGGAUACUGCCGGGCUAGAGUCCGGAAGAGGCGAGUGGAACUCCUGGUGUAGCGGUGGAAUGCGCAGAUAUCAGGAAGAACACCGGUGGCGAAGGCGGAUCUCUGGGCCAUUACUGACGCUGAGGAGCGAAAGCGUGGGGAGCGAACAGG